UGGCGGAGGGUGAGUAAUGUCUGGGAAACUGCCUGAUGGAGGGGGAUAACUACUGGAAACGGUAGCUAAUACCGCAUAACGUCGCAAGACCAAAGAGGGGGACCUUCGGGCCUCUUGCCAUCGGAUGUGCCCAGAUGGGAUUAGCUAGUAGGUGGGGUAACGGCUCACCUAGGCGACGAUCCCUAGCUGGUCUGAGAGGAUGACCAGCCACACUGGAACUGAGACACGGUCCAG
rnacentral:rRNA from 1 species